rnacentral:hammerhead_ribozyme from 1 species
AUCCAACAGAUGAGUCCGAUACAGGACGGAACGCUCAUCCUGGAU